rnacentral:lncRNA from 1 species
AGAACCGCAGAGUCUCCGCUUCAGGCGUUUGGACUCAGUGGAGGUUGUGAGUGCCCAGCAGUGUGGCCUGAAUCUCCGUGGAGUUUAGGGAGACGAAAGGACCCCAGAUCGACGUCCCCUCGUUCCCACUUUGGGGAUCGGCGCUCUGGCUGUUUCGUGAAGGAGAGAGAGGUUGAUUCCAUACCCUGGCUAUUGUGAAUAAUGCUGCAGUGAACAUGGGAGUACAUACAUCUGUUUGAGGAACUCAGAGUGGUUUUCCAGAUGGGAAUCACAUUGCUCUCUGUCCCUGAGAUCUUGCUGGAGACAGGGCUACUCAGUCCCUCUUUGCCAGGUAAUCUGUUCCAGAAGAAACAUGUGUCGUUCUGACUAAGCCCCUGCGUGUCUGUCACCUUAAGAGCCAGUCAAUUCAUAUGGUCCCCAUAUCAAAGUCUCCUGUGCCCAGAGAGAGGAUUUCAUUUCAACCAUCACCAUCACCACCAUCAUCAUCAUCACCAAGAGGGGUUGUUGAAUUGAUAUUGGAAAAGCAGUUUCUAUUGAGCCCCCAAAUGAAGAGUGAGUGCAGAUGAAGAGGAGGCAGGACUCACAAGCCCUUGACCUUCAUUCCAGAUCCGUUAGCACCUACAGGAUCCUGCACCGGGAUUUCAUCUGUACUAUCAGCUUCUUCAAAGAGAGAGAGGUUGUUGAAUUGAUAUUGGAAAAGCAGUUUCCCAUUGAGUCUCAAAUGAAGAGAGAGUGCAGAUGAAGAGGAGGUAGGAGUCACAAGCCCUUGACCCUCAUACUAGACCCAUUACCACCUACAGGACCUUGCAGUGGGAUUUCAUCUGCACCAUCAGCUUCUUCAAAGAGAGGGAG